rnacentral:rRNA from 1 species
CUGCAACUCGCCUGUAUGAAGUCGGAAUUGCUAGUAAUCGUGGAUCAGCAUGCCACGGUGAAUACGUUCCCGGGCCUUGUACACACCGCCCGUCACACCAUGAGAGCCGGGAACACCCGAAGUCCGUAGUCUAACCUAUAUGGAGGACGCGGCCGAAGGUGGGUUUGGUAAUUGGGGUGAAGUCGUAACAAGGUACC